GAUGAACGCUGGCGGCGUGCCUAACACAUGCAAGUCGAACGGAGCUGCUUUGAUGAGAUCUUCGGAUGGAUUUAAAACAGCUUAGUGGCGGACGGGUGAGUAACGCGUGGGUAACCUGCCUCACACUGGGGGAUAACAGUUAGAAAUAGCUGCUAAUACCGCAUAAGCGCACGGUUCCGCAUGGAACAGUGUGAAAAACUCCGGUGGUGUGAGAUGGACCCGCGUCUGAUUAGCCAGUUGGCGGGGUAACGGCCCACCAAAGCGACGAUCAGUAGCCGGCCUGAGAGGGUGAACGGCCACAUUGGGACUGAGACACGGCCCAAAACUCCUACGGGAGGCAGCAGUGGGGAAUAUUGCACAAUGGGGGAAACCCUGAUGCAGCGACGCCGCGUCGAGUGAAGAAGUAUUUCGGAAUGUAAAGCUCUAUCAGCAGGGAAGAAAGUGACGGUACCUGAAUAAGAAGCCCCGGNUAACUACGUG
rnacentral:rRNA from 1 species